UGGUUUUUCCUAGUUAUCACAAAAAUUACUUUGGAUAUUGAAAAACGAUUUACUCUGUUAGUGGCCAUAUAUUAAUAGGAAUAAAAUUCACCCCUUGUCAUUUUUGGGUUGGAGCAUUACUUCUGGUUAAAAAUAUCAUGUAAACGCAACAAAAAUAAUGUAAACAGUAACGCUAUGGUACACCGUACAUGUAUACCGUUUUACCUAUAAUUUUCCUUUGGAAAAAUUAUUUCGAAAACCCCUUGGAAAAUCAUAUAAAAUUACAUUUUUUGUGCAUCAUUUUCACUGUGCUGUU